CUGAACGUAGCCGUGUCGAGCUCACCGUCUUGUCUUUUGGCCUCUUCCUCUCUCAGGUUAUUCAGCCUAACAAGAGAAGCAAAUAUAAGAAGUGCCAUGUCCAGUCAGUCCUGGAUAGAAUUUCCACGUGUCUGAAGUGAUUCGUGAACCACGUUUCUCUGUCGCAGUCUGGCAGCUCCUAAGUGGCCUUUACAAUACCCCUUGCCAUCUUCCUCCUUGGGUGGCUUAAUGUUUUCUUCACUGGGCCAACACGCUCAUCACGCACUUAACAGGGAACGGGUAUUUGUACUCCACGCUGACCUGCCUGCCUAGAACGAGCCUCCACAGCAACUCGGGAAAGUCCUGUCACUUCCUGUGGUGAGCUGUGUCCUCAGCCCCCUGUGGUGGGGGGAUGGUGCUCUUCAUGGGGCUGUGAAAGCAAAGCUACCUACAGAAGGCUUCGGUGGCACCUAGAGCAGAAAAUAGAAUUUUAACUCUGAAAUGGAGGAAGAUAAAAUUAUUAUCAAGGGGGCCCUCCCUGGUGGCACAACAGAUUAAAGCGCAGCACUUUGAAGUGAUCGACAGCCACUGCCGCACAAGUUCGAUUCCUGGCUCUAUCAAGUUACCUGCAGUUUGAUCCCCGGCCAGGGAGCUGA